rnacentral:lncRNA from 1 species
CUCAAACUGGUCUCACAACCAACAGGUAACGUGCCCUUGAUACAAUCCGACGUCAAAAAGGCGAUACGGGUCCACCGUCAAUCCCGACGGCACCCAACAGUCCGGAACAGCCUGAACGCUACUGUAAAAAUACACCCGACACCCCAGCACGAGCGUAACUGAAAACUAAACUAUCUGGAAUACUCACUAUGAGGAUACUGCAACAGUAUAAAAUAAUACAACGGCCCCUAGGGCUAAAUCAGGUAGUUAAGCAUAUGACGAUCAUAAUCGCGAGUUUUCUCCUAAGUCUCAUCCAAGUCCAAUAUGUAUAUAUAUCCAAAGAUAAUAACUAAGGCUCCAAUUCAGAUUAUGAAUCAUAGUAAAUCAAUGAAUCGAGCAAUUGCUAUACACAAAAUAAUUCCACGAAUACAUGUCGACUAUAUAAGCACUUAGGAGUAAACCGAUGAUUAACCCACCUAAAUCGCAAAUCCCCGACAGUGAAGAAGGUCACCGGAGUCCCUGUCAAGCUCGGUGCAGCUCCCCGAACCAGCGACAACAACGCUCCACGGGUCUAAACAUAGAAGCCCACAAUAAGCCUCGAAUCUGCCCAAAGCAACAGCAGCAGAGAGAAACAGUGAUACGACCAAGCUAAUCUUCACCAAAUUCGGCAAGUAAAGGCUUCGUGGAUUCCUCUCGAAGUCUCGAAUCCAACGAACCAAAUCUCGUCAAAAUCCGACGCUCCUACGCCGAGAACGAGUCGAAACGCUGACGGUCGACGACGACAAUCUGCGAAUCAGCACUUAGCUCGAAUUUGAUGAUGCUUGGAAAAUGAAGAAGCAAAUCGACGGAACACCCACCUCGACAGCGACUAGCACCAGUGCGACGUCAACAACGGCGAAGAUUCACGCUCGCCCGGCCUCAUCGCGAUGUAACGGCAGCAACCGUAUCCCCGAACGGCUCCGCGGCGCGACGUCGGCGACGAAAGCUCCACCCGAACUCCUCCCUAGCCUACAAUCGGUUUGAGAGUGAGAGAGAGGAAGAAAAAGCAGAGGAACUCUCUCUCUCUCCACACAAGGCUAAAUAGAGAGAGGGAGAGAUGGUGACACAAACAAGGCUCGAAAAGACCAAAAAGUCCUCCUACCUACCCUGGCGUACCGGUACACGGGCUCGCGUACCGGUACAAGAAGCCAACCCGAGAGCAGUUUGCGCGCAACCAGUGCAGUGUACCGGUACACCCUGAUGGCUGUACCGGUACAGCAAGCAGAAAAUCAAUUUUUUGCAGAUUUUCUUGCUAAAUGCUGCUCUCGCGUCGCACAGUGUCCGUUUUGCGUCUAUUUCGCGCCAACGCAACUCAGACUUGUCUCGACACUCUCCAGAGCUGUCGACAAGCCUUCACUGCUGAACACCAGGGGUCUCACAUCCUCCCCUACUACAAAAAGUUUCGUCCUCGAAACUUAAACAUACCUCAGCUUAGGGCAUUGAAUAGGUAGGGAUAAGACUCUCAUUACCGUCUCAUGCUCCCAAGUCGCCUCCCGCUCCUCGUGAUGGCUUCACUGCACUUUCACAUACGGGAUGACCCGGUUGCGCAAUUCUUUCGUCUUCCAAGCAAGAAUCCGCAACGGUCGCUCCUCGUAUCUCAGAUCCUCGCCAAUCUCGGGUGGAGUGAAGUCAAUCACGUGAGAAGGAUCGAAAACAUAUCUCCUCAAUGCCGAGACGUGGAAGACAUUGUGAAUGCCAGUUAGUCGGGGAGGUAGAGCAAUCCUGUAGGCAACCGGUCCAACUCGCUCCAAUACCUCGAAAGGGCCAACAAACCGUGGACUGAGCUUUCCACGUAGUUCAAAUCGGCGAAUCCCUCUGGACGGCGAGACUUUGAGGAAAUCAUGAUCUUCAAUCUGAAACUCUAAGUCUUGUCUCCCGGUAUCGGCGUGGCUCUUCUGACGGCUCUGGGCUGUCAAAAGGUGUCGUCGAACAACUCUCACCUUUUCUUCAGCCUCUAGCAAAAUCUCAAGCCCUAAAGUCCUCCUCUCACCCACAUUGCUCCAAAACAAAGGGGAUUGACAUCUGCGUCCAUACAAUGCCUCAAACGGAGCCAUCCGGGUGCUCGCUUGAUAGCUGUUGUUGUACGCAAACUCAGCUAGUCUCAAAUGUCGAUAUCACCCUCCUCUAAAGUCCAGGACGCAUGCUCUCAGCAUGUUCUCUAGAGUCUGAAUAGUCUGCUCUGACUGACCAUCAGUCUGUGGGUGAAACGCCGUGCUGAACUGCAGCUGUGUACCCAAGGCUGUCUGCAAACACCUCCAGAAAUGUGAUACAAAUCUCGGAUUCCUAUCAGAUACGAUCGAAAUCGGCACGCCAUAUAGCCUAACAAUCUCAUCCAGAUAUAGUUGCGCGAGUCUCUCUCUGGACCAGGUGGUCUGAACCGGUAAGAAGUGAGCAGACUUGGUCAGUCUGUCCACUAUCACCCAAAUCGCAUCGUAGCCACCCUGCGCUCUAGGCAAUCCCACGACGAAGUCCAUAGUGAUCUGUUCCCAUUUCCACUCGGACACUGGCAGACUCUGAAGUUUGCCAGCAGGCACCUGAUGCUCGGCCUUCACCUGUUGGCAAGUCAAACACUGAGCCACAAAUCUGCCAAUGUCUUUCUUUAUUCCAUUCCACCAAAAUUGUGCCUUUAAAUCCUUAUACAUCUUGGUUCCCCCAGGGUGAACCGUAUAAGGUGAACAAUAAGCCUUUCUCAAAAUAGCCUCUCGGAUCUCUGAAUCCACAGGCAUACACAGCCGGUCCCUGUACCGUAGUACUCCUGAACUGUCCACAGCAAAACCCUCAGCCUGGCCCCUGUUUAACUGCUCUCGAAUCCUCAACAGGUACGGAUCUCCACUCUGUUUCUCCCGGAUCCUAUCCAACAGAGUGGGCUGCAAAACCAGAGACAUCAGUCUCGCGGUAGAUUCAGGGGACACUAUCUCAAGCCUUAGCCGCUGAAACUCCUCGAGUAAUGGCCUCUGCUCAGUGAUCAUCAAACUCAGGCUCUGCACUGACUUCCUGCUCAACGCAUCUGCCACUACAUUCGCCCUGCCGGGAUAAUACUGAAUACUAAUGUCAUAGUCCUUCAAUAACUCUAACCACCGGCGCUGCCUCAGAUUCAGUUCCCUUUGAGUGAACAGAUACUUGAGACUUUUAUGAUCAGUGAAAAUCUCGCAGUGCUCGCCAUACAGGUAAUGUCGCCACAGCUUCAAAACAAAGACUACCGCGACAAGCUCCAAGUCAUGCAUAGGGUAAUUCUUCUCAUAAUCCUUUAACUGCCGUGAAGCAUAAGCAAUUACCCUACCAUGCUGCAUCAACACACAACCCAGUCCACUGUGCGAUGCAUCACUAUAGAUCACGAAUCUUUCCCCCAUUACAGGAAGGGCAAGGACAGGAGCUGACGUCAACCUCAGUCUCAACUCAUCAAAACUCCUCUGACAAUCCUCACUCCAGAUGAAUCUAGUCCCCUUGCGCGUCAAUCGAGUGAGGGGUGUGGAAAGCUUCGCAAAGCCUUCCACAAACCGACGGUAAUAUCCUGCUAGUCCAAGGAAGCUCCUCACCUCUGUCACCGUCGUCGGUCUGGGCCAAUCCCGAAUCGUAUCAAUCUUCCUCGGGUCGAUUACUACUACCACUGCUGAUAUCACGUGGCCCAAGAAAGCGACUUCCCGUAACCAAAACUCGCACUUCUUUAACUUGGCAUACAACUUCUUUUCUCGCAGAAGUUGUAGCACAAUCUUUAAGUGCUCCUUAUGUUCGACAUCUCUCCGGGAGUAUAUCAAGAUAUCAUCUAUGAAGACUACCACAAAUCUAUCCAAGAACGGCUUGAACACUCUAUUCAUCAAAUCCAUGAAUGCGGCAGGGGCAUUCGUCAAUCCAAAAGGCAUCACUGUAAACUCAUAAUGUCCGUACCGAGUCCGAAAAGCCGUCUUGGGAACAUCCUCGGCCCUCACCCUCAACUAGUGGUAACCUGACUGGAGAUCAAUCUUCGAAAAGACAUAAGGUCCUUGCAGUUGAUCAAACAAGUCAUCAAUGCGCGGCAAAGGGUACUUGUUCUUGAUGGUCACUUUAUUCAGCUCCCGGUAAUCUACACACAACCUGAGCGACCCAUCUUUCUUCUUUACAAACAGCAUUGGCGCUCCCCAAGGCGAUACACUGGGUCUCACAUACCCCUUAUCUAUCAGAUUCUGAAGCUGCACCUUUAGCUCUCUCAGCUCCGCCGGUGCCAUCCGAUAAGGUACCUUCGAGAUUGGUGCAGUAUUAGGAACUACAUCAAUCACAAACUCAAUCUCCCUCUCCGGCGGCAUCGUCGUCAACUCAGGGGGAAACAUAUCUGAAAACUCACGGACCACAGGAAUAUCCUCGAGUCCCAGCGUCGCCGUAGGUACCUCAACAAUAGUCGCCAGAAAGGCAACACAUCCUCUACUCAUCAGUUGUCGAGCCCUCGCCGAAGGUAUCCAAGUGGCAAACAGCGUGCUCCUGCAGCCUCUAAAAGCGAACUCCUGGCCUGGCUCGCGGAACGUCACCGUCCUCGCUCCACAAUCGAUCGUAGCAUAGUACCGCGCUAGCCAAUCCAUACUGAGCACAACGUCGAAGUCCUGCAGCUGCCCUAGCACCAACAGGUCUGCGGGCAUGACCCACGAAUCCAAUUGCACCGGAUAUGACCAACAACACUCUGCAACCUGUAACACAUGGUCGGAAAUCUGUACCUCUCGUGCCUGUGACAAUGCCCCUGACUCUAGACCAUGCAACAAUGCAAAUGCUCGGUUAACAAAAGAAUGCGAGGCACCGGUAUCAAAAAGAGUACGAGUACGAAUGCCAGAAAUCAAAGUGAUACCUGCCACCACUCGGUCAGUUGCUGUAGAGUCCUCCACCUGAGCUGCGUAGACUCUGCCACUCGGAGCCUGCUGUCGCCGCUCACCCGAACCUGGCACAGACGAUCUGUCCUCCUGGCGGAAACUUGGAGCUGCUCCAAAAGAAGGCUGAGAUGCCGGCUGUGCUUUAUGCAGUGGAUGGGGUUGGUGAUGCUGCACGGGGACACGCUGACCUCAUAUGUUCAGGCUGACCACAACCAUAAAACCUGCCCUCUCUCUGCUCGCACUGCCGGGGCCAGUGUAGUCCCCCGCAGAUCACACACUGCGGUGUCCUCUGAGUCUGCCCCUGCUGACGGGAUCCCCUGGAACGCUGACGCUCCGAAGACCCACGACCCUGAGAGCAUGAUCGUGGAGGCCUCGGCGGAUGCCUGCUGCUCGACGGUCCAGCAUCAUCUGAAAAUGGGCGCUUCCUGUCCUGACUCUGCCCUACGGCCUGAGUCCUCUCCUGUAGUGACACCUCACCUCUUUCUACCCAGAAGGCCUGCUCAAUGGACGCAUUCAGAGUCCUCGACCUCUGCGUCCGCACCAACCUGAAGAUGUCGGGUCUAAGUCCCUGCUCAAACAGAUAGACCCUGUGUGCCUCGUCUUUGGCCACAAAUGGCACACAGUUCAGGAGUCGAGUAAACUCCCGAAUAUACUCCUGCACUGGACGAUCCGCCUGCUGAAUCCUCUUCAAAUCCUCCUCAAGCUUCUGUUUCACACUGUUGGGAAAGAACAUUCCAAACAGCAUACCACAGAACUCAUCCCAUCUCAACUGCAACGCUACCAGUCCCUGCUCUCUCCUCACUCUCCUCCACCAGGCGUAGGCAUCACCUGCCAAGCAAUGGACUCCCAAAGACACCUGCUACCCCUCCGGAAUGAACAGAUCCUCGAAUAACUUUUCCAUCGCACUGACCCAUCCCUCAACAACCCAGGCCUCAGUGCAACUGCCAUCGAAAAUCGGUGGAUCAAAACGGCAAAAACGAGCCAACCUCUCCGUCCACCGCUCCUGCUCGGCCUCUGUCAACUGUACUGGCCCCCUAGCCGGCGCAACUGGCGCUACUGCAGCUACUGUUGGCGGAGGGACUGCUGCAGCUGGUGCUGUCACUGGGGUAGUCGAAGGUGGAACAGACAACUCUGGUGCCCUCGGUACUGAACUCUGGGGUGAAGCUAGCCUCUCGCACAUCCUCUCCAACAACUCCCCCUGCCGCCUCCUCACCUCAGUCAGGGCGGCUAUCUGUGUACUCAAAUCCGGGAAUGCACUCGCCUCUGGUCGAACACUCUGCUCCCGCGGGGCACUCGGCUCCACAUGCUCAGGCAUCUCGGAAGGUCCGCACGAUCCUGCGACAACUGGGCACGCUCCCGUAACGACGGUCGACCUCGGCGACGAUACAUAGCUGCAAGAAACAAAUCGGGGUCACAUGAAACACAUACGCUCGACCCAAUCAACGAAAGUCUGGAAGGCGGUCCCUGUUUUCCUCCAAAAUUAUGUUGUCUGCAGCUAACAUAAUUUCUCAGGCCAAAACAGGCACUCCUUCAAUCACUCACCCCACUAUGGGAGGAGUUAAAACAAUUAAUCAUUGACUUUCGUAAUAAAUUACGCCUCUCGCGUCUUGCCUCCCUAAGGUUUGCCAAACUUAGGUUUUCUAGGUCCCAACGACCUAAUGCUAAGUUCUGAUACCAACUUAAUCUGUCACGCCCCGGAUUACACGUUCCCCGGGCACGCCGACAAAUCCGCCGUAUACAAAGGAAUUUUCCCUGUAUACGAAGUGAUAGCUGUACCUGUAAAUCAUACAAUACUACAAACAGUAGUAUAGAGCUGCUAGAGUAAACAGAAACUAAACAAAUGGAGUUCCAUAUACAUAGUCCAAAACUACGAGUACAGAGCUACUCGCACUGGCGAGUUAAGUAUACUAUGUACAUGAACUCAAAACAAAACAUCUACCUACAGUAGGGGUACCUCUAACUCGGCACGUCUGGUAGGGCUCUAACUCGCGACUCCCUUGCCUCGAUCCUGGUCGGCAACAGCAGCAGCUGAAGACGAUGGCUCUGCAAAAACAGGGGAUAAAACAGGGCGUGAGAACUACUGUAAAAACAAGUAGUCCUCAGUGGGUGCCGCCCUCAACAACAUCGGUCCACCUACUAAGUCUACAGAAGGGAGCAAAGAUAGUAGUAAAUGCAGGAAUAAAAUCUAUCGCUAUGGAUCACUACACUAUUAUGCUCUACACUAAUCAACUGUAGGAAAUGUUAAAUCUGACCCAAUCCAAUCGGGACUGUAAACAUACCCGUCCCUGGGACUGUGAACACACCCGUCCCUGCCCAGUUGCGACUAUCCAGCUACCUCCAUACUAUCUGGUCCGUGGAGAGCAAGUCCAACCGGCAUGAGCUACACCAACGCGAAAACACAAUGCCCGUCUCAGGAGUGGCACUCGUGGGAGCUACCCAACCGAGUAUGCAGCGUAUCUCUGUCGAGCUCAAUCAGGCUCUCAAAGCCAAAGUCCAGUAAUCGACUCAAACUGGUCUCACAACCAAUAGGUAACUUGCCCUCGGCACAAUCCGACGUCAAAAAGGCGAUACGGGUCGACCGUCAAUCCCGACGGCACCCAACAGUCCGGAACAGCCUGAACGCUACUGUAAAAAUACACCCGGCACCCCAGCACGAGCGUAACUGAAAACUAAACUAUCUGGAAUACUCACUAUGAGGAUACUGUAACAGUAUAAAAUAAUACAACGGCCCCUAGGGCUAAAUCAGGUAGUUAAGCAUAUGACGAUCAUAAUCGCGAGUUUUCUCCUAA